UUUUAGGCCUACCGAGUGGUCUAAGAGAGUUAUCGGGUCAGGCCCUGACAGGAGCAGCCCGGACUCUCUUAGAUCAUGUCGGUAGGUCUUAAUAAU
rnacentral:SRP_RNA from 1 species